CUUAUUAGGUCUUUCCACCUUUCCGUGGAAAGACCUAUUGAAUUUGUUCUGAUUAUUAUUAUUAUUAUUAUUAUUUUUUUUUUUUUUUUCUUCCGCCUAAUUUUUUUUCUUGCGUAUUAUUGAUGUUUCAAAAGAUGUCGCUUAGAUAUUUGGAAUAUAGUAUCGUAUAGUUUAUACGCUUUAAAACUUUACAACUGUGUAACAAAAUACUUUACGUUGUAAGAGUUAUCUCCCCAAACACUGUUUUUCUUGUGGCCACUACUCCUUCGCAACCGUUAAAGAUUACGACAAAUUUAUUUUACCAAAUUGCUCGUUACAUCUUCAGGAUUAGGAUAUUCAUUUGGACCGAAGCUUUACGGAGACUCCAUAUGAGAGUUAUUCCCCCUUUUCCAUUUAAUUAAGUGAUAUGCAUUUCUAAAUGGUAAACCAUAAGUGAUAAAGACAUAGGGUCUUUAGAUUUGUGGUCCUUGGUCGAAAAUAAUAAAAAUGAGGUCAAGGUCAAAGGUCAAGGUCAUAUUCUAAAUUUUGAUUUUGGCUUAUUUUCAUUUAUUUUCAAAUACCUUAUGACAUAUCGACAAAUAAUUUUUCAUAAAUUGUUAGUUGCGACAUGUCCUUACUUGUAUAUUUUGAUUGAAAGGGUGCGCAGACAAUAAAUGGGAGUUUUUGCCCAUCUUACAUUUAGAAUUACGCGUAAAGUGAUAUUACUAAUAAACCAAACAUAUUAAAGAACUUGGGUCUUUUGAUUUAAGGUCCUUGGUUUGUGAACUUGAAAUUGAGGUCAAGGUCAUAGGUUGAUAUGACGUUCUAGAUUUUGACCUUUGCUUUAAAUUCAUAUAAAUACAUCAUAAAGCCAUAGGAACUAACAUUUUAAACUGAUUUUUAAUAUUUCAAUAUCAAAAUAGAUCUUUACUAGUGGAAAGACCUACAAUUGUUCUCUGAACAAUUGGUUUUUAAUU
rnacentral:lncRNA from 1 species